rnacentral:lncRNA from 1 species
AUGUUGAUGGGAAACUAUCCAGUGAAGCUUUCAUUAUAUAAGGAUGUUUUUCUGGUUCUGGCCUGGCCCUUGUUCCUCUCCUCCGGAUCUGGCCCUGUUUCCUCUCCUCCGGAUCUGGCCCUUGUUCCUCUCCUCCGGAUCUGGCCCUUGUUCCUCUCCUCCGGAUCUGGCCCUUGUUCCUCUCCUCCGGAUCUGGCCCUUGUUCCUCUCCUCCGGAUCUGGCCCUUGUUCCUCUCCUCCGGAUCUGGCCCUGGUUCCUCUCCUCCGGAUCUGGCCCUUGUUCCUCUCCUCCGGAUCUGGCCCUUGUUCCUCUCCUCCGGGUCUGGCCCUUGUUCCUCUCCUCCGGAUCUGGCCCUUGUUCCUCUCCUCCGGAUCUGGCCCUUGUUCCUCUCCUCCGGAUCUGGCCCUUGUUCCUCUCCUCCGGAUCUGGCCCUGGUUCCUCUCCUCCGGAUCUGGCCCUUGUUCCUCUCCUCCGGAUCUGGCCCUUGUUCCUCUCCUCCGGAUCUGGCCCUUGUUCCUCUCCUCCGGAUCUGGCCCUUGUUCCUCUCCUCCGGAUCUGGCCCUUGUUCCUCUCCUCCGGGUCUGGCCCUGGUUCCUCUCCUCCGGAUCUGGCCCUUGUUCCUCUCCUCCGGGUCUGGCCCUGGUUCCUCUCCUCCGGGCCUGGCCCUGUUUCCUCUCCUCCAGGCCUGGCCCUUGUUCCUCUCCUCCGGAUCUGGCCCUUGUUCCUCUCCUCCGGGUCUGGCCCUUGUUCCUCUCCUCCGGAUCUGGCCCUUGUUCCUCUCCUCCGGAUCUGGCCCUUGUUCCUCUCCUCCGGAUCUGGCCCUUGUUCCUCUCCUCCGGGUCUGGCCCUGGUUCCUCUCCUCCGGGUCUGGCCCUGGUUCCUCUCCUCCGGGCCUGGCCUGGCCCUGUUUCCUCUCCUCCAGGCCUGGCCCUUGUUCCUCUCCUCCGGAUCUGGCCCUUGUUCCUCUCCUCCGGGUCUGGCCCUGGUUCCUCUCCUCCGGGCCUGGCCCUGGUUCCUCUCCUCCGGGCCUGGCCUGGCCCUGUUUCCUCUCCUCCAGGCCUGGCCUAGCACUGUAUCUAUCAAUGCAUUCCUCCCUCUUCUCUCUUUCUCUAACCCCCUCCCUCCUUCCUCUCUUAAUCAGUGUGUCACAUGUCCACAUUGUGUCUGAGCAUGUGCACAUCGUUGUUUGUGUGUACAGUAGGUGUCAUAUGGUCAACGUGUUUCUGUAA